GCUGUCUUAGCUCAAUUGGUAGAGCAGCCGCCUUGUAAGCGGCAGGUUGCAGGUUCGAUUCCUGUUGGCAGCG
rnacentral:tRNA from 1 species